AUUGAACGCUGGCGGCAGGCCUAACACAUGCAAGUCGAACGGUAACAGGAAGAAGCUUGCUUCUUUGCUGACGAGUGGCGGACGGGUGAGUAAUGUCUGGGAAACUGCCUGAUGGAGGGGGAUAACUACUGGAAACGGUAGCUAAUACCGCAUAACGUCGCAAGACCAAAGAGGGGGACCUUCGGGCCUCUUGCCAUCGGAUGUGCCCAGAUGGGAUUAGCUAGUAGGUGGGGUAACGGCUCACCUAGGCGACGAUCCCUAGCUGGUCUGAGAGGAUGACCAGCCACACUGGAACUGAGACACGGUCCAGACUCCUACGGGAGGCAGCAGUGGGGAAUAUUGCACAAUGGGCGCAAGCCUGAUGCAGCUAUGCCGCGUGUAUGAAGAAGGCCUUCGGGUUGUAAAGUACUUUCAGCGGGGAGGAAGGGAGUAAAGUUAAUACCUUUGCUCAUUGACGUUACCCGCAGAAGAAGCACCGGCUAACUCCGUG
rnacentral:rRNA from 1 species